GGCGCUGACUGUGCGAGCCGCAGCGCCCCCUGCAGGCGGAGCCCGGCGCGCCCAGGCCGGAGGCGGGGCCCGGGGCGGCAGCCUCCUUGCCAGCCCUGCGACCUCGGGCCCGGGCGGACCUGCGGUCGCCUCGGGGCGAAAGGGGUGGACCAGGAUAGACUGGGCGCUGGGCCCGCUCCCACGUGGGGCGGAGGCAAGAGCGCGGCGGGCCCGGGCCAGGCGGUGCGGUGCGGGGACGGGGUUCCAGAGCUGCGGGGUGACCUCCGGAGCCCAGGGCAGCGCCUGGCCGGACUGGCCCCGCUCACCCUCCGAAGAGGAACCCUGGGUUUGGCUGUGUUUUUUUUUUUAUUUUGAGGUGUUUCCCCCCUUAAUAUUAAAUCCUAAAGGAAAUAGGCAUUCAAGCUCCCUGUCCGUAGGGAAUUAUAAUCCUGGGCAAAAGAAGAGGAAACAUUUCUCUAUGAUAAACACAGAAUCUCAAUAAGAAUUGAGAACUUUUCCCACUGACUUAAACCCUGGGAAAGGAAAGGGGGAAAUGGAGUAAAGGGAAGCUGAAAGGCAAACUUUAUCGUCCUCCUGAUUUUUGCCAAGGGUUGGCUCAUCCUGUUGAUGCUCAGAAGAGAAACUGUAACACCCAAAGCAAGAACUCAGCUUGGUUUCUACGCUAGUGAAAUCGUUGAAUCUCUGGCCUGUCCCAGCAUGCUAACUGGAUUUUCAACAAUACAUCAUCCAUCUACACAAAAUGAGCAAGCACUUUUCUACAGCAUUUCCAGCUUUUCCGCAAAAACCUAAGCCCCCGCAUAAGCAAAAGACCACACUCUGCUUCAUCAAGAAGAUUACACAAUUACAGGUUCCAAUGCUGCCUGGAAGUCCUUUGAAAAAUGGCUCAGAGAAAAGCCCUGUAUUAAGGGCUUCUAUUAUAAAGCUCUGCUAUGACAUGAAAGGACUGGGAAGCUCUACCCUAGAUGAAAAUUACUUUGUACAAUCUUUAGUGCCAUCUGCUGGAAGCAGGAUUGAGCUGUUGGAAGUUCUGUGAUCUGGCUGCUUAUGACAAUAACCCAGGCUAGUUGAAGAAGGCUAGGAGGCAAUAAGAUCUUCCUUCUGUUAGUACAGUCACGACAGUCGUUAUAGAAAGGCAUGAUCAAUAAAAGCGGGGAAGUCAAGUCCUACUUUGAAAACUGGAGUUCCAUAAAGAAUAAAGUAUAAGAGCUGAAAAAGAAAUCAGAGCUACAUUAAUUUGGAAGCACACGCUGGUGCUCAAACAUUUAAAUAAAGAAGAAUAAGUGAACACGAAGAGGGGGAUUGGAAGAAAAAAGUCUUACCUGAAGUGUUUUCUUUGAAGUGUCUUAUCUUUCCUCUGCUUUUGGAAAAAGUUGAAUUUAGCACUGAGAAAUGCUUCAGACAAAUUGAAUACAUAAGAAUUGACGUGAUCUCUUUUCUAGUAAAAGGAACUACGUUUAAGAAGAAGAACAUCACUUGCUCUGUGGGGAAGCCAGUUGCCAUGUCAUAAGAACACUCAAGCAGCCCUUUAGAGAGACCCAAGUGGCAAAAAACUGAGGUCUCCUGACAAGAGGCAGGGAAAAAAAAUUUCUUGCCGACAGGCAUGUGAAUAAGCCAUCUUGGAAGAGGAUUCUCCUGACCCAGUCAGGCUUCAGAUGAUCACAGCCCCAGCUGACAUCUUGACCACAACUCCAUGCAAGAGCCACCCAGCUAAGUCAUUCCCAAAUUCCUGUUCCACAGAGACUGUGAAAUAAUAAAAUUGUGUUUGCAAAUAUCUUUUCCCAUUAUGUGGCUUGUCUUUUCACUCAUCUUAAGAUGUACUUUCUUUUUUAAUAAACUGAAGUUCUUAACAAUGUA